GCUCCCAUAGUUAAAUGGAUAUAACAAGCCCCUCCUAAGGGCUAGUUGCAGGUUCGAUUCCUGCUGGGAGUA
rnacentral:tRNA from 1 species